GCCGGGAUAGCUCAGCGGUAGAGCAACGGUUUCGUAAACCGUAGGUCGAGAGUUCAAAUCUCUCUCCCGGCU
rnacentral:tRNA from 1 species